CCCGGUGACCCUGAAGCAGUGGCCCGACCCGAUCCCAUCCCGAACUCGGCCGUCAAACGCUGCGUUGCCAAUGGUAGUGCUUGUAGAGCUUGUGCGAGAGUAGGUCGUUGCCGGGU
rnacentral:rRNA from 1 species